rnacentral:rRNA from 1 species
CCUACGGGAGGCAGCAGUAGGGAAUCUUCCGCAAUGGACGAAAGUCUGACGGAGCAACGCCGCGUGAGCGAUGAAGGCCUUCGGGUCGUAAAGCUCUGUUGUUAGGGAAGAACAAGUAUCGGAGUAACUGCCGGUACCUUGACGGUACCUAACCAGAAAGCCACGGCUAACUACGUGCCAGCAGCCGCGGUAAUACGUAGGUGGCAAGCGUUGUCCGGAAUUAUUGGGCGUAAAGCGCGCGCAGGCGGUCCUUUAAGUCUGAUGUGAAAGCCCACGGCUCAACCGUGGAGGGUCAUUGGAAACUGGGGGACUUGAGUGCAGAAGAGGAAAGCGGAAUUCCACGUGUAGCGGUGAAAUGCGUAGAGAUGUGGAGGAACACCAGUGGCGAAGGCGGCUUUCUGGUCUGUAACUGACGCUGAGGCGCGAAAGCGUGGGGAGCAAACAGGAUUAGAUACCCUGGUAGUCCACGCCCUAAACGAUGCGAACUAGGUGUUGGGGAAGGAGACUUUCUUAGUACCGCAGCUAACGCGUGAAGUUCGCCGCCUGGGGAGUACGGUCGCAAGAUUAAAACUCAAAGGAAUUGACGG